AGGAAAAUAUGUUACCUAGAAGCU
rnacentral:siRNA from 1 species